UCUCCGUUGGUGAACCAGCGGAGGGAUCAUUACAGGACUCGCAAGACUCCUACGACCCUGUGAACUUAACUAUAAGCACGUUGCUUCGGCGGGUGUCUCGGAGGGGGUUCUCCCUCCCCGAGACGCUAAACCCGCCGGCAGCCUACUAUACUCUGUCUCUUUGCGUUGGCAUCUCGAGUACAAUCAAACAAGUUAAAACUUUCAACAACGGAUCUCUUGGUUCU
rnacentral:misc_RNA from 1 species